GACGAACGCUGGCGGCGUGCUUAACACAUGCAAGUCGAGCGGUAAGGCCCUUUCGGGGGUACACGAGCGGCGAACGGGUGAGUAACACGUGGGUGACCUGCCUUUAGCUCUGGGAUAAGCCUGGGAAACUGGGUCUAAUACCGGAUAUGACCCUAUGGCGCAUGUUGUGGGGUGGAAAGCCUUGUGCGGCUAGGGAUGGGCCCGCGGCCUAUCAGCUUGUUGGUGGGGUGAUGGCCUAACCAAGGCGACGACGGGUAGCCGGCCUGAGAGGGCGACCGGCCACACUGGGACUGAGACACGGCCCAGACUCCUACGGGAGGCAGCAGUGGGGAAUCUUGCGCAAUGGGCGAAAGCCUGACGCAGCGACGCCGCGUGAGGGAUGACGGCCU
rnacentral:rRNA from 1 species